rnacentral:lncRNA from 10 species
CUCCUCCUCCUCUAUUUUUCUCUUGAUCAUAUUGUUGGAAAAAUCGCUUUCUCAGGCUCCCCGGUGGUAGUAGUAGUAGCCAUGUAGACCAGCACCAGCUGAGCCUUCCCUGCCAGGUGCAAUCCAGAUCGUCCCUGUGUUCGCUCCCUGCACCUCCCUGGGAGUCCUUCUGGGGAUGGAGGGCAGUUGGAGGGUGCGUGUUCAGCCUUACUGGACAGUGUCCACCGUGCGUACUCGAGCAAGUGCCUUGAGGUCUCUGGGCCUUGUAGCAGCAUCUAUGCAGCAGGAGAAAAACAGCACCUGCUUCGUAGGCCGCCGUGAGGACAGAGCAAUUGAACCAGGGUGCACGGCCAGCGCCAGACACAGUGAGCUUCAUGGCAACUCCAGUUUACCGGGAAGCCUGGGAGACCUGCUCUGCCGAACGUGGUCCAAAUCCUCAUGGAGACAGGCGCACCAGAUCCUGCACCCAGGAGCUGGGACGCCGCUGGCAUGGGCCUGCUUAGGACUGUUCAGCAUCUCCUCACGCCAUUGCCCGACCCGCUAAUCAGCUUGAGGAGAAAGGAGAGAGGAAAUGCCGUCCUUUGACAAGAUGUGGGAAACCACCUCGGUUUGUACUUGGUGUGGCUGUGACCGGCAAACAAAGAACCCUCCCCGGCUCUGGGGCCAAGUUUCCAAUAAACUUUUCCCUGAGCACUUUCGAGCGUGUUGUGUGUGUGUGUUUGCUGGUGAGAGCCGAAGCGCU